GAUAAAUUUUUAUAGUUUUUAUAAUUUAUUAUAUAUUUAUUUUACAUAUAAAUUUUAGUGUUAAAUUUUAAUUUAUUUAAAUAAUAUUUAUGAUAGUAGUAAUUAAUAUUAAAUAUUUAAGAAAUUAAGAUUUAGUAAUAUAUAAAUUAAUAACUAAUUUUGUGCCAGCAGUUGCGGUUAAACAAAAGUUAAAUUAAAUUAUUUCAGUAUAUAAUAAAUAUAUAAUAAAUUAAAGUAAAUAAUAAAUUAUUAGGUAAAAUUUUAAUUUAUUUAAAUUUUAUAAAUUAAUUAUGAUUUAAUAAAUUUAUUAAUAAACUAGGAUUAGAUACCCUAUUAUUAAAAUUUAAUUGAUAAUACUAAAAUAGUAAAUAAUAAUUUAUUGAAACUUAAGUAAAAUGGCGGUAUUUUAGUUCAUUUAGAGGAAUCUGUUUAUUAAUUGAUAAUCCACGAAUAAAUUUACUUAAUUUAAAAUUUUGUAUAUCAUUGUUAAAAAAAUAUUUUUUAAUAAAAAUAAUAUUUAAAAAUUUAUAAUAAAAAUUAAUUCAGAUCAAGAUGCAGAUUAUAAUUAAGAUUAUAAUGGAUUACAAUAAAUAUAUUUAAAUGAAUAAUAUUUUGUAAUAUUUAUUUGAAGGUGGAUUUAAAUGUAAUUUUAAUUAAUUUAUUAAAAUGAUUAAAAAUUAAAAUAUGUACAUAUUGCCCGUCACUUUCAUUUAAAAAUUGGAAUAAGUCGUAACAAAGUAGAGGUACUGGAAAGUGUUUCUAGAAAGAU
rnacentral:rRNA from 1 species